rnacentral:tRNA from 1 species
UUCUCGGUGGUUUAACGGUUAGCGGAGGUUUGCAAAAGCUUUGGCAUGACGGGAGGUCACCGGUUCGAAUCCGGUCCGGGACA